UCCUCCCCAAUCCCCUCUCGUCGCGUAUGGCGGCGCUGCCCCGCCUCCCUGUCUCCCAGCCUUCUCCCUCUUCCACGCCCCAUCUCCAACCCCCAACCCCCAGCCCCGCGCCACUCUGCCUCCCUAGACGUCUGCCGGCCCGCAGGAGCAGCGCACCGCCGGCGCAAGCAGGAGGGGCUGCUGGAGCUCCACCCUUGAUGGUGAUGGCGGACUCGACCUCGCGCCGGCGGCCUCCACGGAGGCAGCGCGGGCGACCUCAACAGGGGCCGGCGCAGCAGGGCGGCGUGGGCGAACUCCGUUACUCCGGCGAGGACGGCGCGGCUGCUGAGGACUGUAGAAGGACGGCCAGCAGGGGCGGCGCGGGUGAGAUCCUCCAUGGUGGCGCGGCCGAACUCCGGCAGGGCGAGCUCCGGCUAGCUCGGUUGAGCUCAGGCGAGUUUUGGCAGAGGGAGCUCUGGCACGGGAUAGGUUGAGUAGUUAGAGCCCACUUUACCUCUUAUUUUUCAGAUCCGUUUCUACAAGAGGAGGAAAAAUUUCGAGUUCAUAAGGGACAUGCUUACAAGGCCAGUUAAUCCUCUAAAUAUGAAUCCUUGCUUUACAUAUGUGUUUAUCAUACAUAUAUUAUUAACAGUUAAUUGAUUUGUAGCCUUCUAUUGGUGUACCUAUAAUCUUCAUGCUUUUACACAACAGGUUAUUGUAAAAGAGAUUUGUGUGUGCAUGCUUUAAUUGUACAUAGAUUUAUCGUUUAUUUGGUUAGGAACCUAAUUUUUUUAGAUUUAUCAUUUGUUGUUGUGUUUAUAAAUCCUAUAGCUACACCUGCAGUGAGAACCAAGAUGCGAACUUUGUAUGGCGGGUUAUUUCCCUUCUAAUGUUUGCCAGAAAAAACAGUUCUGGUCCAAUUGCAACUUGUGUACCAAGCUUGAGGAAAUUUAGAAACCAAAGAAAUAUAAAAUCCAAGAGAAAGGAGGAUAUGGAUUUUAUUUUUGUAGUUCUCCGUGUAAUCCUAACACAAGAUGUGAGAAUUUCCCACAUCAUUAGUCAUUUCU